CUGGUCUCCGGCCGCCUCGCUUCUCCCCCCUUCGCGCUCGCCCUCGCGCUCGACCCAUCUGGGCUGGGGCACGCGGCGACACUCACUCAUCGGCCCAAGGGACCCCCCGGUCUCGGAACGCCGACACCUGCCUUCUUCUUCCUCCAGCGAGCAGCAAGCGCAGGGAGCUCAGCUCCUCCCCUCGGCCACCAUGGCGCCCUCCUCCCUGGCGCUCGCUCCCUGCAGGGAGCAGUUUCCCUUGGCCGACGCCCCAGCCAUGGCGCCUUUCUUCCCCGCGCAGCGCCUCGGCUCUCCCUCCCCCAAGCUCUAGCGUUCAUGGAACAGCAGGCGAGCAGCGAUUUCCAUCUCCCUGCAACCUCCAAGGCUGAGCCCCUCCUCCCUCUGUUCGGCGCCCUUGCUGCUAGAUGCGCAGAGCCCCAUGGCGCCCUGAUUUCUAGCUCCCUCCCAUGGAUGCCCAGAAAAAUCCCCCAGCCGAGCCCCCAAGCAGGCGCCCAGAAAUUCCAGCAGCCUCUCCAUGGCCGAGCUCCCUGUUCCCUCUGCUCUAGCCGGCCAUCUCCCGCAGCACACGCCGAGCUCCCCUUCGAUCCGGUUCAGCGCAGGCAGCAGCAGCUUCUAUGGAUGGCACCCAGAAUUUUUUUUUCCAGCGCCUCCCUGUUCAUCUUCCUCCCAGCUGGCUUUCCUCCCCUGCUGUUGCUCGCCCCUUCCUUCUUUUCCCUGGUGCGGCAGCAAGGAGCCCCUGCUCGGGCUGCAGCCGUGGCGUCCAAGUCUCUGCGCAGCAAUGCCGGUCCAAAAACUGCAGCCUCGUCACUCCCCUGGCUUCGUCGCUGCUUUGUGCUGCGCAGUGAACAGCACGCCGUCGACGCUCGCCGGGUGUUUGCUGUUUUUGCGCAGCCCCAUCCGCGACGUCUUUCACCCCCGGAGAGGCACUCCGUGUUUUGCGAGGAGAAGGCAAGCCGCUCGACGCUCGUCGAUGUUCGUAGUGAUGCACAAAUCGGAAUCACCAUCGUCCUCACAAACACCGAUUGGGUUUGUUUAUGGACCGAGAGAUGA
rnacentral:misc_RNA from 1 species